rnacentral:rRNA from 1 species
AGCGAACGCUGGCGGCAGGCCUAACACAUGCAAGUCGAACGAACCUUUCGGGGUUAGUGGCGGACGGGUGAGUAACACGUGGGAACGUGCCUUUAGGUUCGGAAUAACUCAGGGAAACUUGUGCUAAUACCGAAUGUGCCCUUCGGGGGAAAGAUUUAUCGCCUUUAGAGCGGCCCGCGUCUGAUUCGCUAGUUGGGUGGGGUAAUGGCUCACCACGGCGACGAUCAGUAGCUGGGGGGAGAGGAUGAUCAGCCACAUUGGGACUGAGACACGGCCCAAACUCCUACGGAAGGCAGCAGUGGAGAAUCUUGCGCAAUGGGCGAAAGCCUGACGCAGCCAUGCCGCGUGAAUGGUGAAGGGCUUAGGAUUGUAAAAUUCUUUCACCGGGGACGAUAAUGACGGUACCCGGAGAAGAAGCCCCGGCUAACUACGUG